GGCGGUUCUUGGGUGAUGCACCCGGAAUCAGGCUCCCUCCUCUUUGGUUCUGGGGUGUCUCACCCAAGAACUGCC
rfam:Myotis davidii contig132792, whole genome shotgun sequence.